AAGUCGUAACAAGGUAUCCGUUGGUGAACCAGCGGAUGGAUCAUUACCUGAAGAAACAUCAUUUCAAAAUGGUGUGGUUGAUUCGUCAACCUCUGGCGUGGCUGGUGAAUCAGCCUGCCAGGACUUGUAGUGUGUAUUAAUGCACGCUUGAUGAGUGAAGGUAUUGCUGGAUUGGCGAGAUGCAUCCUCAAUUCCUGAGACUGCCAUUGACUGACACUUAAGCGAUUGUUGUAAAAGAUGACAACUGCUGGCCGUGGAUCACUUGGCUGACG
rnacentral:misc_RNA from 1 species